rnacentral:tRNA from 1 species
GUUGUAGCUUAGUGGUAGAGCGCUUGCCUCACACAACAUGAGGCCCUGGGUUCAAUCCUCAGCACACA